GCCCUUGUAGUAUAAAUCAAUACACCGGCCUUGUAAGCCAAAAAUGGAACACCUCCUCCCUAGGGCA
rnacentral:tRNA from 2 species